CCUUUCCGUCAUUCACCAAAACGCAACUCUCUCUCUGGAACUCAACCCAAUCUGAGCACAGCAACCUCCCAUUCAUUUCUGUCACCCAAAUCCCAACUCUCUCUCUCUCUCUAUAUAUCUCUCAUCUCUCUCUGCGCGCCCAAUUUGCCAAGACGCCAGAGAUAACCCAAAACUAGAUACAGUUGCUUGCACGAUCUCUGAAAGCAAAGAAGAAUCUCACAAUACCCAAAAAAGAUGAGUUUAAAUGAUGAGUCUCAAUUUAUAUCUGUGGAGGAAAGAGGAGAAGAUGCUACAACAAAUGUACAAGGAGAUGAUUUGCCUUCUAGAAGAAAUCGGACGAGAUAGGCUGUUAAAUAUGAUAAUUAUAUUGUAAUAUGUAUAUAUUAAUUGAUCUGAAUAUAUUUCUCUAAUAGUUGAUCAAAAAAUGAAUCAAAAAUUACAUAAGUCUUAACGGAUUUUAAUGGAUUUGGGAAAAAAAAUUUAUAUACAUAAGUCUUAACCAGUUCUAGUUGUUUAAAAAAAAAAUUAAAAAAAAAGUUGUUAACGGGUUCCAACGGAAAACCCGCAAACCUGUCAGGUUUAGCCUGCGAAACCCGUUAACUUAACGGGUUUUUACCGGGUCGGCCCGUUAAAAACCCGACCCGUUAAAAACUCGGCCCGUACCCGCACUAUACCCGCACGUUGCCAGGCCUAUCUAUAUACAAUUGUUCGUUGUUAAUUAUGAAGCAAUAGUAUUAUCAUUAUCUGUCCAAUUGGAAAACCUACAUCUUCAUUUACAAAGGCUGAUACAUUUUUCAUUAGAAUCAAUCUAUUUUUACUUUUCUACUUACCUACAUACUGUUUGAUUUACCUCAAUGAUUUCACCUAGAAUCUAAACCAAUCAUAAUUGAAGAAGACAGGAUUCAAAACAAUGAGCAACCAAUGACCAUCAGAAGGCUUUUCCUCUCUCUUUCUGAUGUAUAUCAAAAUUUUAUUCAAAACAGUACACUACUAAAACAAUAAGUACAAAGAUACAAAUCAGAAACCAAGGAACUUCCCAAAGAUACAGAAGCUGGGAGCCUCUAAAUGAAGAAUAGCAGCAAUAAUUUUCCCUUUUUUCUCUGUCUGCAUUUCUUCUGCAACCUUUAUUUUCAAUUUAGCUUUCUUGUCCUCUCCACUUUGGCACAUAAUCAAGUCAGCAAGGUGGCAAUCUUAUGGUACAGAAACCACGCCGAUUUCAAAGUUUGCAUUCAAAACAGAACAUACCACCCAAAAACCAUCAUAAACACCGUACCUAAGCCAAAUUUUUCUUUGUACUGUUUACGGCAUCAAAUAUACCCACCUACAGUUAAAUCAGGGUUCUUAGCCAGAAAAGAUCUGUUAGAAACCAACAAUGAUCAAAAUGACUCAGAAAAGUACUUGCCAAUAGUCUCUCUUUUUCUUCUUACAAACAAAGUUCAAAUCUUUUCACAACAAAAGCUUAUAAACUAGACAAAAAUACUCAAAGUCAUUUUAACACAAUCAACAACAAACUAAUCAAAUGCGUACAAAAAUCAAAUUCAUCAACAAAAAAGAAAAAAAGAAAAAAAAGAAAUAGAGUUAACCUUCCAAGCUGCCCAUCUUUCUGACCUCAGGAGGAAUCUCUCCACCUAGAUUAUUAACAUUCAAACAAAAGCCAGUGAAGCUGCACAAAUUGGCAAAAGGAAUUGUGAGAUAAAUCUUGUUCUCUUUAAAGUAAAUACAAAAUAUACUGAUAUUCUUUUCGAAUAAACCAUAUAUGAGGUUGAGAUGAUUACCUUGCGCUACUUCCCUUGAACUGAUGCAUAUGAUUGCCCAAAUUAUAAGAAUCAUGAGGGGUUUCCUUUCUGCACAGAAUAAAAGCCAGUAUUACUCUUAUCGAUACCAGCUAGAAGUAUAGGUGCAGAAAGUAUUAUUGAACCAUGUUGUCCUGUACAAUGAUCAGAUAUGCUCAUCAAAUAAAGUAUGAGAGCUAAUGGAAAUAGAAGGAAGCAGGUGUGAAAAGCCAAAAUAAAUUAAUGAAUGGAAGAAGAUGUGCAUGGAAAAGAAGCACCCGAACUAAUUGCUCAAACUAUUGGAGCUGAGACAGAAAAGAAAUUGGAUUCAAAUACUAACUUGCAAAAACCCCAUUAUUCGUUUGUGACGUCAACUAAAAUACAAUGCAUAAAACUUGUUGAACAACUCAACCCUGUAGUCCAUCUCCUUUUCUUCCAUACCAAAAAUCUGCACACAAUUAUUUAAAAAGCAUUAGUUACAGGGCAACAACUAAAUAGCAAGAGAGUACCAAUCCAUCUCUAAGAGUAAAAAUAAACCAUGUUGUCGCCUACUAAACUCUCAAGAAAUACCUUUGUUUCAUUAAGAUCAAACACUCAUCACUGAUCAAUACGACCAUAAGCCAAAAUUGAUUGCACCAAAUCAACAGAAAACAGAGGUUCCAAAUACCCACUAAGAAUUUCAACACUCAUCACUGAUCAAUACGACCAUAUGCCAAAAUUGAUUGCACCAAAUCAACAGAAAACAGAGGUUCCAAAUACCCAC